rnacentral:rRNA from 1 species
GACGAACGCUGGCGGCGUGCUUAACACAUGCAAGUCGAACGGAAAGGCCCUGCUUUUGUGGGGUUCUCGAGUGGCGAACGGGUGAGUAACACGUGAGUAACCUGCCCUUGACUUUGGGAUAACUUCAGGAAACUGGGGCUAAUACCGUAUAGGAGCUCCUGCUGCAUGGUGGGGGUUGGAAAGUUUCGGCGGUUGGGGAUGGACUCGCGGCUUAUCAGCUUGUUGGUGGGGUAGUGGCUUACCAAGGCUUUGACGGGUAGCCGGCCUGAGAGGGUGAACGGCCACAUUGGGACUGCGAUACGGACCAGACUCCUACGGGAGGCAGCAGUGGGGAAUAUUGCACAAUGGGCGGAAGCCUGAUGCAGAAACGCCGCGUGCGGGAUGACGGCCUUCGGGUUGUAAAACGCUUUCGCCUGUGACGAAGCGUGAGUGACGGUAAUGGGUAAAGAAGCACCGGCUAACUACGUG